CCAGCAGGGUCAGCCGCGUCCCGUUGAUUCCCAGUGCCCGGCCCGGCAUUUCGGGGCUGCGGGCUCUCCGGUGGCCUGCAAGGAGGCACAUGGGAUGCUCCAAGGCAUCUGCCUAAAUAUCCCUGCAGCAGCAGUCCUGAACCAUCCCCCAGGAAGUUUUUUUAGAGAUUUCAUGGAAUGCCCGGCAUCACCCCUUCCCUUGGAGAUCCCAGCUCCAUCCCAAACUAGAGAGGGACCAACCUCAGCCGUGGAGCCACACCAUUCAUGCAAGGAGCAGGGUAAGGAGCAGAUGAUGCUGAAAAACGUCAAAGAAAGGUUUUUCCUGCUCCGGAGGAAAUCCUCUUGCAUCUGUCACAAGGAAGUGAAGCCACUAAAAAAAUUAAGAAGUAUUUAAAUAAAAACUGGGACAAAACAAAAGGUGUUUCCCAGAGUCUCAUCCCCCCUCUUUGGGCCCAGCAAUUGACUGUUAAAAUUAAAAUCUAUGCUGACAGCACAUGGGAAGGAAGGAAGGAACAAAUAAAUAACAACCCAAACCCGGAUCCAGCCUCCGCAUGGAAAUCCUGCUGCCCGCAUGGAAAUUCCCCCCCGGUCGUCACGGUCCUGUGAGAGCCCCGGCAGAGCUUCAUUACAGCCUGUGCCUGACGAGUUUCUCCUAAUUAGUGGCCGGCACCACCCUGAGAUGCAGCCAGUUACACAUGAGGGGGGUCCUGGUGGCGAGCGGGGCUGAGCUGGGUGUUCACAGGACAUGGACUGAGACAUGAUGGCACAACCUGAAAUGAGCAUCCUCCAUGCUCCAGUUCCCUCCAGUAGCUCCCAGUACAGGAGCACCCCUUCAGGAUGCCAGCAUGGAGCCAGCCGGCCCAGCUCCUGAAUCUCCCUGGGAUUUGCGAUGCGCCUCUCCAGCAUACUCGUGCGAGCUCUCCACCCUCUAAUCCAGCACUAAUAAACUCGAGUUUAAGCCUAACAUGAAGCAUUUUAAUCCUCUGGGGCGAUGGAGUUCAAGCACUUUAGGGACACACCGAGUUGUUUGGGGACCUGCUCUGCUGGAGAAGAAAUGGCCUCAGGAGGGGACAGGGAGGUCCCACCGCGGCUGAGGGACCACGAGCAUCCCGGCUCACCGGUGCAUUCCAGAUCAUGAUAACUGGAUCUAAACACCACCAGGAGCAGGCGUAAAGUUGAUCUGAGACCAAUCUUAAUCUAAGGAUUAAGGACAUCCCUCAGAUGCCCAAGACGCUGCCAUGGGGAUGGAGGAGAUGCAGGGACCAGAGGGUGCCAGCUCCUGGUUGGCACCGGGGCUUUGCCCAGUCACAGCCAUCCCAGGGCUGGGGGCAGCUUGGGGCGAUCCCAGGUGGGGCUGGGGGAUGCAGGCACAAAUCUUCGGCUGCUGAUGCUGGAAUGCCCAGCUGCCCUCACACACUCCUAAAAUCGACAGGAUUUGCCCCUCCAAGAACCAGAGGAAACCAAAAAAAUAACCCCACCAGUGCCAGACCUGGCUGCUUUUGAGGACACUCCAAGCUCCACCACCCCCGUACUCCACCUGACUGGUGCAUCAAUGCCAAUAUACCAGAAAAGGCGACUUGGUUUUGGAAACCUCCCCAAAUCCCUCCGGGUCACACGAGCCCUUUAUUCCCCUUAACACAGCCUGUAACCUAAAACUGCCCGCUGGGAUUCCAGCGAGGGUUUCCCCUCCCUGUGGGGGAACAGGGUUUCAGCCGAUGGCUCCUGCAGACAAACAGAGGGAAAAAGGAGCAACUGUUCGGAAAAACUUUGGGGAGCAGCUGCUGGAGACAGCCUGGGACAAGGAGGGGAUUGUCCGGCAGAUGGAGCGAAAUCAUCGCACCCCGCGGGCCCCAUCGGAGCUGUGGGAACAACCGAGCCGCCACAGAAUUCCAGCAUUAAAGUCAAAUGAUGCCGGGGCAGCGCAGGGGCCGCGCACAGCCGCGGCAGCGGCACGUCCCGGCCCCGUCUCGGGGUGCAGCCCCGCACCGCAGCAUCCCGGCUGAUGCAGCCCUUUGGCUCCGAGCCCUGGGAUUUUCCAGCUCUGGCAAAAAAAAAAGAGAGACCCGACACGGUUCCUACCCUUUUCCCAGGCAGCUGGAGCAACGGCGUGCAGCAGGGCUGCAUCCUCCCGUUGCAGCCAGUAAAUUUCCUCUUGGAAAUGAGGAUGAUGAGCAUCCCACCCCGGCAAGGGUGCGUGGCAGAGAACGGACCACUCGGGGCAUGUAAUGAGAGCUGCAGCAGCCAUCAGUGCACGCAGGGAUCAGGGAAGAGGGACAGCUAAUUGCCACCAGGCCCGGGGCUGGAGAUGUUUGCUUUUCCCUCGGUCGUGGUUUUUCCCAGGCUCCCAGCUCACAGAGGAGCAUUGAUUUGGUCAGGGAUGCUCCCAUGGAGAAACCCAGCAGCAACACCGCCUCCGGGAUGGGCACGAAGAGGAGGAAGAGGAGGAAGAG